AUUGAACGCUGGCGGCAUGCUUUACACAUGCAAGUCGAACGGCAGCGCGGGCUUCGGCCUGGCGGCGAGUGGCGAACGGGUGAGUAAUACAUCGGAACGUGCCCAGUAGUGGGGGAUAGCUCGGCGAAAGCCGGAUUAAUACCGCAUACGACCUGAGGGUGAAAGCGGGGGAUCUUCGGACCUCGCGCUAUUGGAGCGGCCGAUGGCAGAUUAGCUAGUUGGUGAGGUAAAGGCCUACCAAGGCGACGAUCUGUAGCUGGUCUGAGAGGACGACCAGCCACACUGGGACUGAGACACGGCCCAGACUCCUACGGGAGGCAGCAGUGGGGAAUUUUGGACAAUGGGCGAAAGCCUGAUCCAGCAAUGCCGCGUGUGUGAUGAAGGCCUUCGGGUUGUAAAGCACUUUUGGCGGGAACGAAAAGGACUGUGCCAAUACCACGGUUCGAUGACGGUACCCGCAGAAUAAGCACCGGCUAACUACGUG
rnacentral:rRNA from 1 species